AACUCAAAAAGGAAUUGACGGGGGCCCGCACAAGCGGUGGAGCAUGUGGUUUAAUUCGAUGCAACGCGAAGAACCUUACCUACUCUUGACAUCCAGAGAAUUCGCUAGAGAUAGCUUAGUGCCUUCGGGAACUCUGAGACAGGUGCUGCAUGGCUGUCGUCAGCUCGUGUUGUGAAAUGUUGGGUUAAGUCCCGCAACGAGCGCAACCCUUAUCCUUUGUUGCCAGCACGUAAUGGUGGGAACUCAAAGGAGACUGCCGGUGAUAAACCGGAGGAAGGUGGGGAUGACGUCAAGUCAUCAUGGCCCUUACGAGUAGGGCUACACACGUGCUACAAUGGCGUAUACAAAGAGAAGCGAACUCGCGAGAGCAAGCGGACCUCAUAAAGUACGUCGUAGUCCGGAUCGGAGUCUGCAACUCGACUCCGUGAAGUCGGAAUCGCUAGUAAUCGUAGAUCAGAAUGCUACGGUGAAUACGUUCCCGGGCCUUGUACACACCGCCCGUCACACCAUGGGAGUGGGUUGCAAAAGAAGUAGGUAGCUUAACCUUCGGGAGGGCGCUUACCACUUUGUGAUUCAUGACUGGGGUGAAGUCGUAACAAGGUAACCGUAGGGGAACCUGCGGCUGGAUC
rnacentral:rRNA from 1 species